CUGAUAAUGAAGUCCAGAGAGCAUUUGGAGCAAUCCGGUAGAUGACUAAAGGAGCUCAUUAUCGGAGAAGUCCGGAGGGUACCAAAGGAGUUCGUCCGUUGGAGGAAUCUGGAGGACACUGCGGAAGGUCGACUGCUGAAGGAGUUCGGAUGGUACUGUGGAAGCUCGGACGGCUGGGGGAGUUCAGAAAGACACCGCACA
rnacentral:lncRNA from 1 species